GCCUACGGGUGGCUGCAGUGGGGAAUAUUGGACAAUGGGCGAAAGCCUGAUCCAGCCAUGCCGCGUGUGUGAAGAAGGCCUUCGGGUUGUAAAGCACUUUCAGUGGGGAAGAAAGCCUUGGGGCUAAUACCCUCGAGGAAGGACAUCACCCACAGAAGAAGCACCGGCUAACUCCGUGCCAGCAGCCGCGGUAAUACGGAGGGUGCGAGCGUUAAUCGGAAUUACUGGGCGUAAAGCGCGCGUAGGCGGUCUGAUAAGCCGGUUGUGAAAGCCCCGGGCUCAACCUGGGAACGGCAUCCGGAACUGUCAGGCUAGAGUGCAGGAGAGGAAGGUAGAAUUCCCGGUGUAGCGGUGAAAUGCGUAGAGAUCGGGAGGAAUACCAGUGGCGAAGGCGGCCUUCUGGACUGACACUGACGCUGAGGUGCGAAAGCGUGGGUAGCAAACAGGAUUAGAUACCCGAGUAGUC
rnacentral:rRNA from 1 species